ensembl:lncRNA
AGUAUUUUUCCGUUUACUCCUGAUGAGAAACCAACUGCCACGAAUGAUUUAUCAUCGAAUAGAUAUGUGACAAACACCUUGAGGAUUGAUUCUAAACAACGUUUGCCAUGUUUCUGUCGAUAUUAUGGAGCUAAUUUGUAAAAAAGUUUGGCGUUGUAGUGACUGCAUUUUCGUUUUGUUUUUUUUGCCAAACGUGAUGAACAAAACGGAGCUAUUUCUCCUACACAAAUAAUAUUUUUGGAAAAAAUAAACAUUUGCUAUCUAACUGAGAGUCUCGUCAUUGAAAACAUCCGAAGUUCUUCAAAGCACCCAAGCGGCUGUGGAAGGGUCACGUAACGGCAUGGUUUAGCAGGGGGGAAUGUGAGGGAUGGCCGGUGGUAGCUGGUCCCCUACAAGAAGGUGAGGUACCGGAGGUCCCUCCGCCCCCUCUGGACAUUGAGGGGUCCCCGGCGUACACAGUACGAGCUAUUCUGGACUCGAGACGCCGGGUGAGGGGCCUGCAGUACCUCAUGGACUGGGAGGGGUACGGUCCGGAGGAGAGGUGCUGGGUACUGGGGAGGGACAUUUUAGAUCCUUCACUCUAGAGGGAUUUCCACCGCCUCCACCCAGAUCGCCCUGGCCUCGCCCUUCGGGUCGCGCUCGAGGCCAGGGUCGGCGCACUGCGGGAGCCGCACGUCGGGGGGGGUACUGUCACGAAUUCCGCCGAAGAUGGUGCCUCUUCCUGUUCGGGCGGCACUCGGCGGUCUUCGUCCCCGGCCUACUAGCUGCCAUCGAUUCCCUUUCUUUUGUUUCUGUUAGUUUAGUCUAAUUGGUUACACCUGUUUUGAGUUAACUUCUUGCGUCGAGCCAUCCCGGAUCCGGGAUCGUGAAUACAGCCUCAAGCUCAUUACCAUAACGCAACGUUAACUAUUCUUGAAAAUCGCAAAUGAAAUGAAAUUAAUAUGCUAGCUCUCAAGCUUAGCCUUUUGUUAACAACACUGUCAUCUCAGAUUUUCAAAAUAUGCUUCUCAACCAUAGCAAAACAAGCAUUUGUGUAACAGCUAGCGCAGUUAGCGUAGCAUUUAGCGUAGCAUUUAGCGUUAGCAUCAGCAGGCAACAUUUUCACAAAAACCAG